AACGAACGCUGGCGGCAUGCCUAACACAUGCAAGUCGAACGAGACCUUCGGGUCUAGUGGCGCACGGGUGCGUAACGCGUGGGAACCUGCCCUUAGGUUCGGAAUAACUCCCCGAAAGGGGUGCUAAUACCGGAUAAUGUCUUCGGACCAAAGAUUUAUCGCCUUUGGAUGGGCCCGCGUUGGAUUAGUUAGUUGGUAGGGUAAAAGCCUACCAAGGCGACGAUCCAUAGCUGGUCUGAGAGGAUGAUCAGCCACACUGGGACUGAGGCACGGCCCAGACUCCUACGGGAGGCAGCAGUGGGGAAUAUUGGACAAUGGGCGAAAGCCUGAUCCAGCAAUGCCGCGUGAGUGAUGAAGGCCUUAGGGUUGUAAAGCUCUUUUACCCGGGAUGAUAAUGACAGUACCGGGAGAAUAAGCUCCGGCUAACUCCGUG
rnacentral:rRNA from 1 species